rnacentral:rRNA from 1 species
AUUGAACGCUGGCGGCAGGCCUAACACAUGCAAGUCGAACGAGUGGCGGACGGGUGAGAAAUGUAUGGGAAACAGCACGAUGGAGGGGGAUAAAUACUGGAUACGCUAGCUAAUCCCCCAUAUCACCGGAUGUGCUCAGAUGGGAUUGGUGAGUAGGUGGGGUAACGGCGCCCCUAUGCGACAAUCCCUAGCUGGUCUGAGAGGAUGACCAGCCACACUGGCACUGAGACACGGUCCAGACUCCUACGGCAGGCAGCAGUGGGGAAUAUUGCACAAUGGGCGCAAGCCUGAUGGAGCCAUGCCGCGUGUAUUAAGAAGGCUUUCGGGUUGUAAAGUACUUUCAGCGAGGAGGCGUUACUCGCAGAAGAAGCACCGGCUAACUCCGUGCCAGCAGCCGCGGUAAUUC